UUGCAGAAUCCCGUGAAUCAUCGAAACUUUGAACGCACCUUGCGCUCCCGGGAUAUGCCUGGGAGCAUGCUUGUCGGGGAGGAGGAGG
rnacentral:rRNA from 1 species